AAGGGGUCUGUGAAACAUCGUAAGGACGUUUUCGUGUGUACAACAGAGUUUGGUCUUUCUUACAGAGAAGAGUUUACAAGUGGAAACAGUGACGCUCUUGAAGUGAAGUGCACAAUUCAUUGCAGAGGUAAAGCAGGAAAGAAAAAAUAGUUUUUGCUUUUCGUGAGCUGCGUCUAAGCGUCAGCAUGGAAGUGAAAGAAGAGGUGUUGGAUAUUCUUCAUAAGGUGUGGAUCAAACUGCAGGAUCUGCCGCAGGCCAGUCGGCUGGAGCUGGGAGCCUUCUUUGUGCUCAUCCUGUUUGUCGCAACCUUUCUCUUCAUGAUCGUGCUGUCCUGCGUCCACUGCUGCUGCUGCGGGAAGCCAAAAUACCAGGCCUCCAGAGUCGAGCCCCUACAGGCCAUCUGAAGUCCACACCAGAUUCUAUUUGUACAUAAAUACAGCCUCCUUCACCUUUCCUUCCGAUCCUCCGAUCUCUUGGAGGACACCAUCAGAGGAGAUGCUGGACAUGAAGGACGGGGACACAUUUCCAUUAUAUUUCCAGCACUGGGUUAAAAGACUGAAUCAACAUCCAGAAAGAGCCACGUCACUGGAAACCACUGAAAUCAGCAGGCUGGCGUCAAGAUUCAACAAAGACCGGGACAAUGAAACACUGUGUGCUGUUUCCAAGAACAAAAAACUUCAUGCUCAUAGAGGAGCAAGAAAUGUAAUGUCACGGUGGCUCUUUUAUUACAAAUUUAGUAGUUUGGUAUCCUGUUGAUAUUCAGCAGGAAUGUAAAAAACAACACCGACAUUCCUAUUCACGUUAUAUAUAUAUACAGUGUACAUGUUUUCAACUAUUAGCUGGUGUAAAAAGAUAGUGCGCCCUCUGCUGGCCCAGUGAGAAUUGUGCCAAUGGAACAUAUGAGACUGUAGUGUGUUAUUGUAUGUGCAAUGUAAUAAUAUAGUAAAUGUAAGUGUUAUUAUUACUGUGCCUGGCCUCUUUUUUUUACUGAAACAAUGCAAGUUGUUGACUGAAGCCGGAUGGUAGUAUGUUUAGUUCUUACUUGUAU